rnacentral:rRNA from 1 species
UACGUAGGGUGCAAGCGUUGUCCGGAAUUUAUUGGGCGUAAAGAGCUCGUAGGCGGUCUGUCGCGUCGGAUGUGAAAAUCAGGGCUCAACCCUGGACCUGCAUUCGAUACGGGCAGACUAGAGUUCGGUAGGGGAGACUGGAAUUCCUGGUGUAGCGGUGAAAUGCGCAGAUAUCAGGAGGAACACCGGUGGCGAAGGCGGGUCUCUGGGCCGAAACUGACGCUGAGGAGCGAAAGCGUGGGGAGCAAACAGG